CCCAGAUAGUUUAACCAAAACACUUAGGUCGUGACCCUAAAAAUAGAAUUCUUUCUUCUUGGCU
rnacentral:tRNA from 1 species